CCUACGGGAGGCAGCAGUGAGGAAUAUUGGUCAAUGGACGAGAGUCUGAACCAGCCAAGUAGCGUGAAGGAUGACUGCCCUAUGGGUUGUAAACUUCUUUUAUAAAGGAAUAAAACGAGGCACGUGUGCCUUUUUGCAUGUACUUUAUGAAUAAGGAUCGGCUAACUCCGUGCCAGCAGCCGCGGUAAUACGGAGGAUCCGAGCGUUAUCCGGAUUUAUUGGGUUUAAAGGGAGCGUAGAUGGGUUGUUAAGUCAGUUGUGAAAGUUUGCGGCUCAACCGUAAAAUUGCAAUUGAUACUGGCAGUCUUGAGUACAGUUGAGGUAGGCGGAAUUCGUGGUGUAGCGGUGAAAUGCUUAGAUAUCACGAAGAACCCCGAUUGCGAAGGCAGCUUACUAAACUGUGACUGACGCUCAGGCACGAAAGCGUGGGUAUCGAACAGGAUUAGAUACCCUUGUAGUC
rnacentral:rRNA from 1 species